ACGUAGGGUGCGAGCGUUAAUCGGAAUUACUGGGCGUAAAGCGUGCGCAGGUGGUUCAAUAAGACAGAUGUGAAAUCCCGGGGCUCAACCUGGGAACUGCGUUUGAGACUGUAGGACUUGAGUGCGGUAGAGGGGGGUCGAAUUCCACGUGUAGCAGUGAAAUGCGUAGAGAUGUGGAGGAACACCGAUGGCGAAGGCAGCCCCCUGGGUCGACACUGACGCUCAUGCACGAAAGCGUGGGGAGCAAACAG
rnacentral:rRNA from 1 species